rnacentral:lncRNA from 1 species
AUGGACUCCUGUAAGAUUUCUGUGUUGGCUACACAGCCCUGGUUUCUGAAUGUUCUUUUUACAACCAGAGCAGAUUCAGUAACAGGUAGCUGCACUAACUUGAAGAACAGUACCUGUGCUGGCAAAGUCCACCUGAGAUGUGCCAGCGUGUGCAUACUAGUGCCCUACAGUGUCUCAGAGGCUCUGGAAGUACAGUCAGUUUGUGUCCUGCUGGCCUGGAAUAUGUUAACUGUAUGACUUUGAUCUGGAGAACUACAGCUUGUUUUCCGUGUCCAUCACAUUCCUGCUCUCAUCAUGGAAAACGCAGACAACUGCCCUUCUUGCCUGUUCUGAAGUAGGAUUUCAGCUGAUGUUUUGAUGUUUUUUUCAGCAGGAAAGAAACAAACACUAGAAAGCUAACCCGAAGGACUGUAUGUCAGAAGGACACUAAAAAUUGGAGUGUGGGAAUAUAGCAGUGGGAAUGCAGCAUUCCUAGUGCUGCAUAGUGAGGCAGGAGAGAGAUGAACAGCUGCUUUGCUUUAAGAUAUAUAUUUAUACAAUUUGGCAAACUUUGCAGCUCCUUACUACCCAGUAGAUGCUGUGGGGGUGGAUGGAAGAACAUCGUGACCAUCACCAUGAAUCUCAUAACCUCCCAGAGAGAUGGAUAAUGAUGUUCUGAGAAAGGGGCUGCAAUUCUGCUUGAGUUUUGCCUAAGAGGGCAAGAACUAAUUGCCUUAUGAAGAGGGGUCAGACAACAUAGACCCAGUCCUAAUUUACCCAGGGACUGUAUUACCACGAUGGUACAAAAGGUACACUAAUUUUAACAGAACCAAACUGCAGUUCUGCAUGGAGAAAGACAACAAAAAUCAGCCUUCUCAUCAGCUACUUUGGAAAGCUACAACUACUUUAGAAGCUACAUCUUCCAAUGGCAGCAAUCUGCACUAUGGCCUUUCCAGAGUGACAUAAUGCAGGAUGUGACAGCCAGAAAUACCCCCAAAAUACCACCACACUGAAGCAGGAACUUUCAUUAAUGCAUUCCCACACAUGUUCACAUGUCAUGCUACUUCCAUAAAUCAAUUCAAAUAAAAACAGAAGCCAGUUUUCA